GAAAUAAUUUUGGAGAGUUUGAUCCUGGCUCAGGAUGAACGCGGGCGGCGUGCCUAAUACAUGCAAGUCGAGCAUUUUGGAGUUUUUGAUUGGGGCAGAGAACAAACGGGGGCCAGGGGGUAAAACACAUGCAAGUCACGCGCCCCGCAAGGUCAGUGGCAGACGGGUGAGUAACGCGUGGGAACGUGCCCUUCAGUUCGGAAUAGCCCAGGGAAACUGGAGCUAAUACCGUAUACGCCCUUCCGGGGAAAGAUUUAUCGCUAAAGGAUCGGCCCGCGUUGGAUUAGCUAGUUGGUGAGGUAAAGGCCCACCAAGGCGACGAUCAAUAGCUGGUCUGAGAGGAUGAUCAGCCACACUGGGACUGAGACACGGCCCAAACUCCUACGGGAGGCAGCAGUGGGGAAUAUUGGACAAUGGGCGCAAGCCUGACCAGCCAUGCCGCGUAGUGAUGAAGGCCCUAGGGUUGUACAGCUCUUCACGGGCGCUCUCCGACCAUGUCUAAGCCGCGACGCGCGCUGCAGGCU
rnacentral:rRNA from 1 species